GGUCGACCAGCCCUGAAGAACAGGAGCAUAUUCCAAGGUACCACUGUUCCUGUACCAGCACAUACAGCUUGGUGAUAGGCUCGCGGUUGUUUGGGGGCCAUUUCUGUUGUCUCCUUUCACAAGAGACAGAACGCUAUGCCCCCUGCAUCUCACAUCACAAGAGACCCUCUGGUGCCCUAUCACAGGACGGAUAGGAGGCUGGGAGACCCUCUGGUGCCCUAUCACAGGACGGAUAGGAGGCUGGGAGACCCUCUGGUGCCCUAUCACAGGACGGAUAGGAGGCUGGAGACCCUCUGGUGCCCUAUCACAGGACGGAUAGGAGGCUGGAGACCCUCUGGUGCCCUAUCACAGGACGGAUAGGAGGCUGGGAGACCCUCUGGUGCCCUAUCACAGGACGGAUAGGAGGCUGGAGACCCUCUGGUGCCCUAUCACAGGACGGAUAGGAGGCUGGAGAGACCCUCUGGUGCCCUAUCACGGGACGGAUAGGAGGCUUGGUCAACGGUUGUGAAUGUCCAACAGGGGCGGGGUAUAUAGGUGUUACUGUUGUCAUACCACGGUUUCCCAUAAAUGAGAGAGUUGUGUGUAACAUAUACUGUGCACAUGUGUUUAACAUGUGUUUAACAUGUGUGUGCGUGUGUGUGUGUUGCGUACAUGCGUGUGUUUUGGGUUCUAAAGGCCCCUUGAUUCCCUCCUUUACUGUCAGACCUCUGGGGACCUCGGCUUCAAACAGGAAGUGACAGUUGAUCACCACGGCGACCGCACAGUGUUCCCAUCAGGGAGGGUGGGUCCCUGAAACCGCUAACUUCUAGCUCAUUGAUGUGCUUGUUGACUCCGAUGCAGUCAUGCGAUGUGUGUUUCCUGACAUAGAAUUAACAACAUAAUUGUGUUACCUCCUCUCUUUGCAUAAUGUGCCCAUUGGCGCUACAUGAUUACAGGAAGUAGACACAAAUGUUUUUCGGAAGACAAUUUCUUCCCCAAAGUCGGGUUUUAAAAUGAAACCUGGGCGAAUGGUAAUUGGUUAAGGAUUUGGAUUCCUGGCACACAUGAUUAGAAACAGAUUUUAAAUCAUUUAGUGUAAUUAAAGUAUGCAUAAACAAUCCCCCGCCCUGUACAAACGACACACACACACACACACACACACACACACACACACACACACACACACACACACACACACACACACACACACACACACACACACACACGCCGCACACACACACACACACACACACACACACACACACACACACACACACACACACACACACACACACACACACACACACACAGGCACACAUGCACGCAUGCAUGCACACACAUUCUUAAGAUCUAGCCCUCAAACUGGGUGAGAAGCUUUGCAACAGCAGCGCUACGCAUAUGUUACCAUAGCUCUUGUAUGUUCCCAAAGGUCCACCAUGCAUGGUUAGUGUGCAAGUCAUUGUUUCAACCUAAUGUGCACGUUUCAAGUUUGUCAUUAGAAGCCUUAUGGUGCAAUAUUAACUUCAACACUUAAUUCACCUUGAACCACAGUCAAAGGUUCUGCCAAUACUAACAUUGUUCCCCGUUUCUUUUCUUCUUUUUUUUUAAACAAUCUCAGUACACCCUUUUAGGUGGCUAAAAGCUACUCCUAUCCUUAAAACAGGGGUGGAUGCAUUCUUUCCACCACUAGUUUGUGUUUGCUCAGGUUUGAGCCGCUACAUUCCAUUGAACCGUUGCAUUCCAAGGAAGGCCUCGACCGGCUGCUGGAGCAGAACCAAGGUCAACCACUGCAGCCGUGCAGUAGCACCGUGACACCGUGAUGAUCCAGAGCUGUUGACACACUCAUGUGUUUGGAGAGAGGUGUCUGCAGGCUUCUUCCAUGCGGGCGUGUGUGUGUGGGUCAGAGUCCACACACUGACACCAUUGACGCUGAAUACAACUGGGCAGUGACAACAGCACAGUCACUGCUCUGUGAGUGCACAAUAUGGCCGUCAUGCGUGAUGCCAGUGCACGUACACUGAAGUACCAUCAUCACCACGGCGACCAACCCAUCACGGCCAAUUGUAACGGAGUGCGGCACGGAGUGAAGUGUCCGAGAAGUGUAUCUACAGAGCGUACAAAACGUGACAGAAGUACCCAUCACCACGGUAACCGCCAGCACUCAGCCUCCACCAGACAAGAUGGCAAGGUGGUGAUCAUCUGGCACUUACACUUGUGUCUCCAUACCCCCCCCCCCCCACACACACACACACACACACACACACACACACACACACACACACACACACACACACACACACACACACACACACACACACACACACACACACACACACACACACACACAA